UCGUGCAUUCAAUACAUUAAAAAUAUAAAAAGUUGUUUUUAUCGACAUUAACUUUAUGUUUUAUUUCUAUUUUUUGUAUGUUUAACAAGUGCACCCGGUGCACCGUUUAACAUGACCCUAAAAUAAAUUAUUAUGCUUUCCACGAGUUUGUACUCUUUUUUCUCUAUUUUUACACAUCAAUAGUGAGUGGUGCUACAACUACAAGUGACCGAUAGAUUUUGAGAUAUCAACAUGGUUAAGAUGCCUCUUCCCUACAGGCUACAGUUGAUAUGAAAAUACUAUUUCAUUUAAGCACACAGCCAUUAAUUGCAAUCCCAAAGAUAACCAUGUACUUAAUUACAUUCCAUAUAUAUAUAUGUACAUAUGGUAUCACCAUUAUCAAAGUUCUGUCCUAAAUUGAAGUCAGAAGCCCGCUUAAACUGGCGGCAAAAGCAGCUUGUAUCAUUGCCUAAGUGUUAGGACAACUAUGCAAAAAUGUAUGAUGUAUGAACACUUUCUCUGGUCAUUCAUCAUCUGAU
rnacentral:lncRNA from 1 species